rnacentral:rRNA from 1 species
GACGGAGGAUGCAAGUGUUAUCCGGAAUCACUGGGCGUAAAGCGUCUGUAGGUGGUUUAAUAAGUCAACUGUUAAAUCUUGAGGCUCAACCUCAAAAUCGCAGUCGAAACUAUUAGGCUAGAGUAUAGUAGGGGUAAAGGGAAUUUCCAGUGGAGCGGUGAAAUGCGUAGAGAUUGGAAAGAACACCGAUGGCGAAGGCACUUUACUGGGCUAUUACUAACACUCAGAGACGAAAGCUGGGGUAGCAAAUGGG